UUUCCUACUACCUAGUUAUUAAUUAUUUUUAUUGAAGAACUUUAUUUUAGUUACCUACAAUAUGGAUAAAGUUAAAAAGAGGGCUCCUAAUUAUACCGAAGAUGAGAAACAAAACUUGUUAGAGCUUGUGGCGAAGUAUCUUCACUAGAAAAUGAAAGUAUUGAAUUAAAUGAGCUAAAAAGUAUGUGGACAGAAGAAAAGAAAAAUCUUAAAAAAACUGGUGGUGGUUCAUAUAACCCAGUCCUUACCGAUGCAGAUCAUCAAGUUGCAUCCAUAUUAGAUAAUCAAAUAAGACCAGAUGAAAAUCCAUAUGAUGAUGCAGCUGCAUAUUUUGGAGACUCUAUACCAAUUGAAGAACCAAUCAAUGAUGUUGCCGAGGCAGCAACUACUUCAGAAAUAUAUAACAAUAACAUCAAAAGUAAACAAAUAUUAAAUAAUCGAUGUGUAUUAAAAAUAAAAAAGGACACCACCAAGAUGUCCCCAAUCAGAUCUGCCGAAAUCUGUAGAAAACUUAAGAAGAAUAUAUUAAAAAAAAAAAAAACAAAAAAAAAAUGAAAUACAAAAAUUUCGAAAUGAACAGAAAAGGCAUAAAUUAGAAACUAUAAAACAAGAAUUAGAAAUACAAAUCCUAAAAAAGUCCCUGUAACCUUUACCUUUGACCAUUACAAAUAAAGUAUACUUACCACAAAUAUAUUUAU